GAACGGUACAAUUGUUUUGUUAAUGGUACGGUUCGUUUUGUGAACGGUACGGUACGCUUUGUGAACGGUACGAUUCGUUUUGUUAACGGUAUGGUUCAUUUCUUGUACGGAACGGUACGGUUCGUUUUAGAGGUUUAGUAACAUAUUUUUGGGUCUGUACAUACGUGUCACAGACUGUCUAAGGUAUAUUUUUAGACUGAACUUUAGAAUUUGUAUGAUGAUGACAUUCUCUUGAUGGAACAAAUCAGGAGAAAGAGCGCAAAAACCACGUGACCAAUGAUACAUGACUGUAUAUAAACUAUUACAUUGGUUGGGCGUUUUGUAUUUCCUAACACUUGUUGUACGCCAUGAAUCGUCAGACGUUUUUUAUUCUCUUGCUUGUUGCGGGGAUUUUGCUGACUAUCUCCGAAGUUGAAGGAAAACUGGGACAUUUCAGUAGAGUGCGAAGACCGUUAAGAAGAAAGAGAGAUACAAAUGGUAUCCCUGGAAAUGGAAUGAAUGGCCUCCCUGGAGACGGAACAGACCUGGGUCCGCGUAGACCAGAUUACUAUGGCUGAGAUUCGAAAUAAUUCGGAAAUAACAUUUUUUUAGUGGAAAAGAAAACAGAUUGCUUCAUGUAAUUUCUGCUUCAUUUAAAUAUAGCCAUUCUCAAUUCUGGAUUUAUUUUAGUUUUUGUUCCACACUUAUAACUUUUUUCAUCCUCAUCAAAUGAAUAGGACAACAUGCAGCUUUAUUGCAUAAUAAAAAGGUCAAGAAUGUGUAACAUUAUGCAAUAACUCACCAUCUUACUAUUUGUAUUUAUCAAAGUAUUUGGAACGUAAUAAAAUAUAUAAAAUACUU